AUUCUUUCCAACAGCAACUAAUAACUCACCUUUACAAGCUCCCUUAAGAAAACAACCAUCAAAUCCAAUUAUAUUCCUACACCCCUCCAACCAUCCUUGCUUAAAUGCAUGAAAGCACACAUAAAAAUACACAAAAAGGUUCUUCCUAGUUCAGUUCCUUAUCAAUUUUACCCAACAAGAGCUUCCAGGAUUGGUUUGUUUGAUCAUAUCUGCAUAGUCACAUAAUCUGGCAAAUUCCACUUUCCAAUCACCCAUGUUUUCCUUCAUAAUCCUCUGUUUAGCCCUGUAACAAAGAGUCUUACCAACAUAAAGACCCAAUGUCUUUCUAACCAAAUCUUGAAUUUCCCAAAUCCUUAUGUAUGGUUGAGAUACAAUUCUGUCCUUAAACUUUCUAGCAAUUAACUUUGAAUUACACAACUUGGUCCUGUUUAAUGGAAUACAUUUGUGAACAGGAUGAUAG
rnacentral:lncRNA from 1 species